rnacentral:rRNA from 1 species
CCCUUAGAUGUCCGGGGCUGCACGCGCGCUACACUGAAGGAAUCAGCGUGCUAAGACCAUUGUCGAAAGGCAUUGGUAAACCCAUUAAAAUCCUACGUGAUUGGGAUCGGGAAUUGCAAUUAUUUCCCUUGAACGAGGAAUUCCCAGUAAGUGUGGGUCAUAAGCUCGCGUUGAUUACGUCCCUGCCCUUUGUACACACCGCCCGUCGCUGCCCGGGACUGAGCCGUUUCGAGAAAAGCGGGGACUGCUGCUGUCGGGGCUUUCGGGCCUUGGCUUCGGUGGAAACCGCUUUAAUCGCAGUGGCUUGAACCGGGCAAAAGUCGUAACA